rnacentral:misc_RNA from 1 species
CUGCCCUCCACAUCAUGUGUGUCUCUGUUGGCGUGCAGCACUCACAGACAGCACCGUAGACGGAGGGGUGCGCGUACGGCCGCUGCUCCAACCCUCCGCCCCUCCCACCCACACACGAAAAACUCAGAAAAGCACUACAUUUUCGGAAAGGGGGCACCAUGGCAUCACGUAUGCCGCAGCACCCACGUGUUUGCCACUCUCAAGCUGCCGUGCUCCUCUCGUCAUCACUCCACACUGUCGGUGAUGUGUUCCCCUUCUCGCAUCACUGUCACGCGCUGGAUUCUUCAACUCCUCUCCCUGCCUUCUCUGUCUCUUCGUUUGUCGCGCCCGCCUUCGAUGAGGCGCACGCCCUUCCUUGCCGUCAGUUCUGCCUCACACGCAGGCGAAGAGCGCAGCUAGGUUUAGUCGAGGAACACGUAGAGCCAACACUGCGCACGCCUUGGGCGCGACAAUGGAGAUCACGGACACGGUAAAGGAGCGCGUUCGGUACUUUUUCGUGCAUCACAGCGAGCCACCUCGUCCUUUGUCGACCCACGAUGGCACCAGCGCAUCCGCCUCGCCUUGGACGAGCAGCGGUGCCGCUGCAGCCGGUGCUGGCGGCCGGUGUGUUUUUAUUCAAGAGGUUGACUGCAUGAAGCUCCUCGACGUCUGCCCAGAGGUCGGGUGCGCGCUGCUGGCGCAGACCACAACAGUCAUGGAUGUGCUGCGGGUGGAGUGCGCGGCACUGUGCAAAGAGGCUGGGCAGGCGGGCAUUCUCAGCAGCAGCAUCUCCAUCCGCCUGACGCACGUGCCAGUGGCUAUGACAGGACUGCCGUCAGUCCCACCCGCUGGUGGCCAACUCGUGCAGCUGUGCGGGUCGAUCAUUCGCAUGUCGACCAAGCGCGUGGUGCCGUAUGCGUCGCGGCUAAUGUGCCCGCGAUGCCAUGAUACCACUGAGAUCUUCACAAACCCUUUUGACCGGGCGACGGAAGCCAAGGCGCAUUGCUCGCAGCCCGCCUGCAAGCAUGAGCCGAUGCAGGUGAUUGGCCAGGUUUGGAUGGACUACGCCGAGUGCCGGCUGCAGCAGCGGUCGAACCAGUCAGGCCACCUGCCUCGCAGCGUCUUAGUCACGCUGGAUGACGAGCUCAGCAUGAAGUGCUCGGUGGGCCAGUUCGUUGAGGUGGUGGGGAUCGCCUUUCCAAAAUGGCGGCAUGUUUUCCCCUCUAGCAGGCCGAGCAUCGAACCGGCCAUCUGGGCGGUCAACGUUCUCCCCAUGGAGGCGUACCGCGGGGCGGCCACGUCGACGAGCGGUGCACCUGGACUGCGUCGCCGCGCCGGCAAGACGGACCGGCCAAAGUUCAACCCAGAGCAUUUCUUCACCUCCUUCUGCAAGAACAAGCGCAAACGCGGCGUGACGCUGGCGCGGUCCGUGUGCCCACACCUCUCCGGUCUCUUCGCGCCCCGCUUCGCAGUGUUGCUCUCCGCCCUCGGCGGUGCGUCGACGACGGGGAAAACGUCCAUGCACGUACGCAACACAAUUCACUGCCUCUACGUUGGCGACCCCUCAACUGGCAAGACGCAGCUGCUGCGCUUUGCGGCGGCCAUCGCGCCGCGCAGCACCUCGACGACCGGCAUGGGCAGCACCUCCGCCGGUCUCACAGUGGCCGCCGCGAAGGAGCAUGGCGAGUGGGUGCUUGAACCUGGUGCAUUGGUGCUGAGCGAUGGCGGCUCCUGCAUCAUCGAUGAGCUCCGCACCGUCUCUCCAGCGGAUCGUGCCUCGCUGCAUGAGGCAAUGGAGCAGCAGACCAUCUCCGUGGCGAAGGGCGGCCUCGUCACGAAGUUGCGCACCGCCUGCGCGGUCUUGUCAGCCUGCAAUCCACCGGCCCGCCGCGGUGGUCGCACAGAGAUCGGCGUUGGCGGUCCGCUGCUGAGCCGCUUUGACUUCAUCUUUCUUCUGUGGGACACGCCGAAGCCAGAGUUGGAUGCGCGGAUUUCGUCGCACAUGCUGCGGGCCAAUACUGGAGCACAGACGGUGCUGGAGGAGGAGGAGCUGACGGUGGACGAGGUGGCGCGGUACCUUUGGUGGGUGCGCACCCAGUACGCCACGGCAGACGGCCCUUUUCUCUCCGACCCGGCCGCUGACUUACUGGGCCGCUACUACGAGAUCCAGCGGCAGCGUGGCGCCAGUCCGGCCCUGGAUGACGCGGUGCCGGUGACCGUGCGGUUCCUCGAGUCCCUCGUGCGACUCACACAGGCACACGCGAAGCUGCAUCUACAGACGAUGUGCACGCUCGAGGACGCCGCAAUGGCGGUGUUUCUCAUGGAACGCUCCGCGUACAGCCUCAAGUGCCCGCUGGACGCUGUCGAGCCCGGAAUGCACAGCAGUUCGCGGGAGCUGGACGAGGUGUUCCUCUCGGAUGACCCUGCGGCGCUCGCUCAACAGGACGCGGUGCUAUCCGCCAUCGUCGAUGUCAUGCUCCACUACCAGCUGCCGCCAGCGGACCCCUUUGAUGGGGCCGAAACGAGAGGCGAUGCGGAGAUUGCCUUGGCAGAUCUUCCCUUCAUGCGGGCAAUGCGCGUCGCUGGCGCGUCGCAGAAUACAAACGCCUCUUCGUCCACCGGCGACGCUACAAGCGAGAAUGAUGUGACGGACGGCACGCUGCUGGCUCAGAGGAAAGCCCCCUCGGCCUUGCUGCAGGCCAAGACCCUCGUCGCCAUCGCCAGCGCUGAGCGACUGGCGGAGGAGGUUGGCCGGACCUCUGGCACCGCCUACAGCGUCGCGCGCUAUACCGGAUCCACUAUUGAGCGGGCCGCGGACUCGUCUCCCAGAGCCGUGGCGGAUCUGCUGCGGUCUCAGCGUGUGUGUCGGUCAACGUCUGUGGUACCGUCCGCAUUCGCUGCCUCGCAGCCGAGCCCGCUACCCGCUCUCGUCGAAGAGGCGCGAGCACAGGAGCACAGACAGCUGAUGACUGGAAAGAGGCCGAGUGAGGCGGGCGAGGAUGAGUUGCUGCUACCGGAUAGCGAGCACCACUCCGCCGCCUCCAGCGCGCCGCCUUCGCAGCAAAUGCUGGCCUGUCCUCUUCCGUCGCCAUCAUUGUCCGUACCCGAAGCCGGUUCACUCCCGUACUCGCUCUUGCCAAACGGUACGCGGAAACGGUCUGCCGAGGACAUCAUGCGCAGUCUUCGAUUCCGCCCGUGAAGAGGGGGCUUUGGGGUGCUUGGGUGUGUGCCAUUUUUUUUUCGGCGUACCAACGUUUCUCGCCUCAUGCUUCUCUCGCUCUCAGCCCGUCCGCUUCUGCCCUUGUUGCAGUCCGGUCGAACGCUGUCCUGCGCACCUGUCUGAGCCGUCUCGUUGACAAGC